rnacentral:lncRNA from 1 species
CCAGUGCCUGCAUCUCACAUAGAAGAGAAACUGCUAACCUCCUCAUUGCUGAGGGCACGGGAUCAAGAGUAGCUGAGCCUGACCUGUAGUUCAUGGGAGCCAACAGGAACUCAGAAGCGAGCCUGCCACAAGUGUCCAGUCAUGAGGAGCUGAGCCGCUCCAGGAGUGGAUCAGAGCCACUCAGCCUUCCUGCGUGAUGGUAAAUAAAAUGAGCCAGCUCUAUACAAGGAUCACUGCCCCUGAGAACAACUGGCACAGCACAACUAUAGGCCGCACCGCCUAAGUCGUGGAGGUGGGAGCAGUUACUGUGAGUCACUGAAACUUGGGGCAGCUUCAGAGAGCGACACGUGUUGGGACAGGGCAGGAUUAAUAAGGUCAGAAUCUCAUUCGCACGUCAGUUCUGCUCUGGCAUAAGUAUGUGAUGCACUGCAGCUUGGUCAUGUUUCAGUGGGGUUGCUUCAGAUCUGCUUUACUCUUUGUGAGAUCAGAAUCUGUGGCUGAUAUCGGAUGAAAAGUUAUGGUGACACCGAGGCAAUUUCUUUUGUAUUUCAUGUGAAGAAAGCUAAAAUAAAUAGCAUGAAAGGCCU